ACGUAGGGUGCGAGCGUUAAUCGGAAUUACUGGGCGUAAAGCGUGCGCAGGCGGUUUUGUAAGCCAGAUGUGAAAUCCCCGGGCUUAACCUGGGAAUGGCAUUUGGGACUGCAAGGCUGGAGUAUGGCAGAGGGGACUAGAAUUCCUGGUGUAGCAGUGAAAUGCGUAGAUAUCAGGAGGAAUACCGAUGGCGAAGGCAGGUCCCUGGGCUAAUACUGACGCUCAUGCACGAAAGCGUGGGGAGCAAACAGGAUUAGAUACCCUGGUAGUCCACGCCCUAAACUAUGUCGACUGGUUGUUGGGGGUUUGACACUCUCAGUAACGAAGCUAACGCGUGAAGUCGACCGCCUGGGGAGUACGGCCGCAAGGUUA
rnacentral:rRNA from 1 species